rnacentral:lncRNA from 1 species
UCCACAUGAAUCAGUUGAAAAGGCCUAGAGGUUCUAAUGGAGCUAUCAGGGAAAGGAAGCCUAGUCUGUCUGGCCAUGGGACAGACUGUAUAGGGAAAAGGUUGUUUGGAAGCAAAAGAAAAAGACAGACCAGAAAUGCAUUUCAUGUUUGCAAAAGGAAUAUGUUCAAGUCUUAAGUGCCAAAUGUAAUUCAUAUCAGAUGUAAGAUCAUUAUUACAAGUGGAACUAUUUACAUGAGAAUGCAAAGAAACAUCCUUGUCUUUGCAAAGAAACAUCCUUGUCUUUGCAAAGAGGUUGGAUCAAAGUGAGAGGAAGACUAAACUUGUCUUUGCUUCUCAUCAUUGAGGACAAUAUUAUAGACAUUGUCAAGAGAAUGAGGAGGCUGCAUCAUCAAAAUAUUAAUCCUGACCCCCAUAUAAACUUCAUUCAGACCUAUUAAAAACUGAAAGACCUUAUUAUCAUCACAUUCCUGAACUAUACCAUCUUUUGCAGCACAU